rnacentral:lncRNA from 1 species
CAGACCUCUUGUCUCCUUGUUGAGAGAAUGCCAUCCAGGGUCUAGCUUUUUAUAAGCAAAGAGUCCUGAAAGACUGACUUCCAUCAUUACCAUAUUUUGGACAGAAGCUGAUUUCCCUGGGCUGAAGACAUUUUGCAAGUUGGAGGAGUAUUUGCAUGACAAGCAACAGGAGUUUUUGGACAUCUGGAGGCUUAGUUCCAACGUGACCUUAACUGUGCCCUCAAUGCCACAUUCAUCUGCUCAGUCUAGUCUGCAAAUGAUCCUCUUCUGUGGACCACUGAUCUUUCAAAAAUCUUUUCAGAUAGUUUA